GGUCCCAUAGCUCAGCUGGAUAGAGCGCUGCCCUCCGAAGGCAGAGGCCAGAGGUUCGAAUCCUCUUGGGACCGCCA
rnacentral:tRNA from 1 species